CGAGCACGCGCGUGUGGCAUAUCAAUAAGCGGAGGAAAAGAAACUAACAAGGAUUCCCUUAGUAACGGCGAGUGAAGCGGGAAGAGCUCAAAUUUGAAAUCUUCAAGGUUCUACCUUGACGAAUUGUAGUUUAUAGAAGUGUUUUCUGUUAGUGGAGUGGCAAAAGUUCUUUGGAAUAGGACAUCAUAGAGGGUGAGAAUCCCGUAUUUGGCCAUUCCUCCUAGCGUUGUGAUACACUUUCAACGAGUCGGAUUGUUUGGGAAUGCAGUCCAAAAUGGGUGGUAAAUUUCAUCUAAAGCUAAAUAUUGGCGAGAGACCGAUAGCGAACAAGUACCGUGAGGGAAGGAUGAAAAGAACUUUGAAAAGAGAGUUAAACAGUACGUGAAAUUGUCAAAAGGGAAGCGUUUGACACCAGUGUUGUUUUUCCGAAAAUCAAUUACGAAUGUUUUGUUUUUGAGGAGUUAUGACUUCAUCGGCUUGCUCCUUUCUUUAUGAAACUUUCUUAAUGCACUUUUCGGUUAACAAGUCAACAUCAAUUUCUUUUGUUGUAAAAGGGUAUGAGGAAGGUGGCUUUCUUUUCGGAGAAAGUGUUUAUAGCCUUGUGCCUCUACAAUCGGAGAGAUUGAGGUCUGCAGCGUAGAUCCUUCGGGGUUAGAUACGUUUGUGCUAAGUUAUAGCUUUUCAUAGACAACUUGUUGACUAUGUUUAGUCUUGUAGCUUACUCGCUGACGCUAUUUUACCUACGCUUAGGAUGUUGAGUAGCGACAUACGCAC
rnacentral:rRNA from 1 species